rnacentral:lncRNA from 1 species
GGCACAUACAAAGUGGAAUAUACUCCAUAUGAGGAAGGAGUACACUCCGUGGAUGUGACUUAUGAUGGCAGCCCUGUACCCAGCAGCCCCUUCCAGGUGCCUGUAACAGAGGGCUGUGACCCCUCCCGGGUGCGUGUCCAUGGGCCAGGCAUCCAAAGUGGUACCACCAACAAACCCAACAAGUUCACAGUAGAGACUAGACUGUCUGUUUGGACCAGGGGAGCUGGCACAGGUGGCCUGGGCUUGGCUGUUGAGGGUCCCUCAGAGGCCAAGAUGUCUU